UACGAAGGGGGCUAGCGUUGUUCGGAAUUACUGGGCGUAAAGCGCGCGCAGGCGGCUUCUCAAGUCAGGGGUGAAAGCCCAGAGCUCAACUCUGGAACUGCCCUUGAAACUAGGAAGCUUGAGUACGGUAGAGGUGAGUGGAAUUCCCAGUGUAGAGGUGAAAUUCGUAGAUAUUGGGAAGAACACCGGUGGCGAAGGCGGCUCACUGGACCGUUACUGACGCUCAGGCGCGACAGCGUGGGGAUCAAACAGG
rnacentral:rRNA from 1 species